rnacentral:rRNA from 1 species
AGAGACAGCAGCAGCCGCGGUAAUACGUAGGUCCCGAGCGUUGUCCGGAUUUAUUGGGCGUAAAGCGAGCGCAGGCGGUUAGAUAAGUCUGAAGUUAAAGGCUGUGGCUUAACCAUAGUACGCUUUGGAAACUGUUUAACUUGAGUGCAAGAGGGGAGAGUGGAAUUCCAUGUGUAGCGGUGAAAUGCGUAGAUAUAUGGAGGAACACCGGUGGCGAAAGCGGCUCUCUGGCUUGUAACUGACGCUGAGGCUCGAAAGCGUGGGGCGCAAACAGGAUUAGAUACCCCCGUAGUCCCUGUCUCUUAUACA